CGGCAUGAUCGGGCCGUCCGGCCCGAGGACGGAAGGCACGCCGAGGACAGAAAAAGACAGAAAGUGAAGUGCGAGGAAGAUGUAGUCACGAAACGCGGCACAGAGGAUGCCGGAGAGCAAAGGAGACGUACGCGAAACGACAGAUGCGACGAAAAGAGGAACAGAGAAAGAAGCGAGAGGGAAGUCUGAAGAACGCACUUAAGAGAACAGAGAACGAUAGAAAAUAUAAAGCAGGACGGAGAGAGAGAGGCGACGUCACAAUGUACCUACUCCCUUUCCUCUCCUCUUUCUCUCGUCUAGACAGCGUAAGAUGCAAUAGAGUGUGGGGUCCACUCACCAUAGCCUCUGUCUUUGGGAUCUUCACGCUCCUUUCGACUUCUUUUUUCAUCCUCUGGCGGUAGAAAUUUACGCUAAAUGAAUGCAGCUGCGCGAAAUCAAUGAGGGUAUGACAGCUCUUUCUAUAUGAAUAAUCUACGAGAUCCUUUGGAUUUCCGGCGGCUCGUAGGUCUUAUCAAAACGGCAGGCAAAGAAAUUAUUCAGGAUGAAUUUGAGAAGAACAGGAAAGAAUUUGAAGUUAAGAAGGGAUAUUGAAAUGUGAAAAGAU